AUUGAACGCUGGCGGCAGGCCUAACACAUGCAAGUCGAGCGAGCGGCGGACGGGUGAGUACUGCCUGGGAAUUGCCCAGUCGAGGGGGAUAACAGUUGGAAACGACUGAUCAUACCGCAUACGAUUGGAUUGCCCAGGUGGGAUUAGCUAGUUGGUGAGGUAAUGGCUCACCAAGGCGACGAUCCCUAGCUGGUCUGAGAGGAUGAUCAGCCCCCCUGGAACUUAGACCCUGUCCAUACUCCUACGGGAGGCAGCAGUUGGGAAUAUUCCACAAUGGGUGCAACCCUGAUGCAGCCAUCCCGCGUGUGUGAAGAGGGCCUUCGGGUUGUAAAGCACUGUCAGCGAGGAGGCGUUACUCGCAGAAGAAGCACCGGCUAACUCCGUGCCAGCAGCCGCGGUAAUUC
rnacentral:rRNA from 1 species